rnacentral:lncRNA from 1 species
GGGGGGGUGGGGGGGGCAGGCCACGCGUGGUCCCCCCCGUCGGUCCCCUCGGGCCGGGGCGCAGAUCCCGCUGCCUCCUGUCACGGAGCUUGUUCCUUUGUGCCGCCUUUCGAGGAAUCAAAGCGGACACGGUUGUGACACCAGGAGCGGCUGAGCUGAGCGGAGCGUGUAGAUGCGGCCAGGUGAAGGAGGAGGGCUGCUGGCGGCCGCCCGGGCGGCUCUCCGGAGUAGGGAUCGCGGCCACGUUUGAGAGAUUUACGCUUCGAUUCACAGCGUUUGUUCCCCGGAAAAUAUUUUCAAAGAAAAGGGAAUUUAUCUACAAUUAUUUUUCGUUGUCUUUGACAAAAGAUUCCAAUAUAGAUAUUGCUGGAGGCGCAGGCAGCGCUGAACACCAGGAAGGGGAUUUCGUAAACAAUUUCUCAAAGCACUACAAAGUUUAAAUAUUAAUUUGGUCAUAAUAGGCAGAGAAGCAAUUAAAAAUGCUACAAAGCUGACUUUCUCCCUCCCUUACUUUCUCCUCCAUUUUCAUUUAACCACAGUAUAGAAAGUAGAUGUAAAACAAUAGGACCCUGAGCUGUACAGCGUUCUAAGCCUAGCUUGCCUUAAAGCUACAAUAUGGAUUUAAUUUAUAUGCAAAUGUAAGCAAUAAAAAGCCAGACACUGUAGAAAUUAUAGUAUUU